rnacentral:lncRNA from 1 species
AUCAAUCUUUAAAAGAAAAAUCAAUGAAAAGGAGUUUUGUGAAAAAAAAUUUAAAACAUUAGGGGGUGUUCUUGUAAUUCUAAAACCUCAAGGAGUUUUGUGAAAAAGCCUAAAACCUCAGGAGGUGUUAGUGUAAAUAACUCUAGGAACUCUAUGUGAUACUAAGUCACUCAUGUACCUUACCCUGCAAUGUAUAAAG